UCCCUGGUGGCUCAGAUGGUAAAGAAUCUGCCUGCAAAGCAGAAGACCUGGGUUCGAUCCCUGGGUAGGGAA
rnacentral:tRNA from 1 species